UCUGAUGUUAGCGGCGGACGGGUGAGUAACACGUGGAUAACCUACCUAUAAGACUGGGAUAACUUCGGGAAACCGGAGCUAAUACCGGAUAAUAUUUUGAACCGCAUGGUUCAAAAGUGAAAGACGGUCUUGCUGUCACUUAUAGAUGGAUCCGCGCUGCAUUAGCUAGUUGGUAAGGUAACGGCUUACCAAGGCAACGAUGCAUAGCCGACCUGAGAGGGUGAUCGGCCACACUGGAACUGAGACACGGUCCAGACUCCUACGGGAGGCAGCAGUAGGGAAUCUUCCGCAAUGGGCGAAAGCCUGACGGAGCAACGCCGCGUGAGUGAUGAAGGUCUUCGGAUCGUAAAACUCUGUUAUUAGGGAAGAACAUAUGUGUAAGUAACUGUGCACAUCUUGACGGUACCUAAUCAGAAAGCCACGGCUAACUACGUGCCAGCAGCCGCGGUAAUACGUAGGUGGCAAGCGUUAUCCGGAAUUAUUGGGCGUAAAGCGCGCGUAGGCGGUUUUUUAAGUCUGAUGUGAAAGCCCACGGCUCAACCGUGGAGGGUCAUUGGAAACUGGAAAACUUGAGUGCAGAAGAGGAAAGUGGAAUUCCAUGUGUAGCGGUGAAAUGCGCAGAGAUAUGGAGGAACACCAGUGGCGAAGGCGACUUUCUGGUCUGUAACUGACGCUGAUGUGCGAAAGCGUGGGGAUCAAACAGGAUUAGAUACCCUGGUAGUCCACGCCGUAAACGAUGAGUGCUAAGUGUUAGGGGGUUUCCGCCCCUUAGUGCUGCAGCUAACGCAUUAAGCACUCCGCCUGGGGAGUACGACCGCAAGGUUGAAACUCAAAGGAAUUGACGGGGACCCGCACAAGCGGUGGAGCAUGUGGUUUAAUUCGAAGCAACGCGAAGAACCUUACCAAAUCUUGACAUCCUUUGACAACUCUAGAGAUAGAGCUUUCCCCUUCGGGGGACAAAGUGACAGGUGGUGCAUGGUUGUCGUCAGCUCGUGUCGUGAGAUGUUGGGUUAAGUCCCGCAACGAGCGCAACCCUUAAGCUUAGUUGCCAUCAUUAAGUUGGGCACUCUAAGUUGACUGCCGGUGACAAACCGGAGGAAGGUGGGGAUGACGUCAAAUCAUCAUGCCCCUUAUGAUUUGGGCUACACACGUGCUACAAUGGACAAUACAAAGGGCAGCGAAACCGCGAGGUCAAGCAAAUCCCAUAAAGUUGUUCUCAGUUCGGAUUGUAGUCUGCAACUCGACUACAUGAAGCUGGAAUCGCUAGUAAUCGUAGAUCAGCAUGCUACGGUGAAUACGUUCCCGGGUCUUGUACACACCGCCCGUCACACCACGAGAGUUUGUAACACCCGAAGCCGGUGGAGUAACCUUUUAGGAGCUAGCCGUCGAAGGUGGGACAAAUGAUUGGGGUGAAGUCGUAACAAGGUAGCCGUAUCGGAAGGUGCGGCUGGAUCACCU
rnacentral:rRNA from 1 species